GAAAAGAAGAGGUCGUUAUUCAGUUACUUGUGUCGUCAGCAGUGGACCAAUCACAAAACCCAAAUCCUCCACCUCGAAAACUUUGUUCUUUCUUCGUUUAUUUCUGUAUCCUAUUCCUUGACCACUUCGUUUCUCUCUUCUUUACCUCUAGAAGAAGCUGAGCUCCGGCAAUUUUCCAGCCAUGAAUUUCGAAACCCUAACUCACCACCUUCACUUUCACUGCUCUUAUUUCCAAACUCCCAACCGAAAAUUCAAUCCAAACUUCAUUUCACCAAAAAUUAGUGUCAGAAUCCUAAGGUGCAGAGAUAAUCGAUCCGUUAUUAGAAACUGCGGCUACCCGAGCCGCGGAGUCGAUAACCCCAUUCAUAUUUUUCCAACUGAGGAAGAAAAGGAAGAGGCGGCUGUAGUGGAGAAAAUGCAGAUGUUUGGAGAGGUGUCUGAAAAUAUUAGAGAAGAAUUAUCGGAGAGUGGCAGUUUGUGGGAUCAGAUAACUGAAAUUGUGAAGUUUUCUGGUCCUGUUGUUGGGCUUUGGCUUUGUGGACCAUUGAUGAGUUUAAUUGAUACAGCUGUUGUUGGUCAGAGCAGCUCCGUUGAGCUUGCUGCUUUAGGGCCAGGAACAGUGUUCUCUGAUUGUGCAAGCUACCUGUUUAUGUUUCUUUCAAUUGCCACUUCGAAUUUGGUUGCUACAUCCCUUGCUCAGCAGGAUAAAAGUGAGGUGCAACAUCAGAUAUCUAUCUUGCUGUUUGUUGGAUUGGCUUGUGGUAUCAUGAUGCUUUUCUUUACUAAGUUUUAUGGCCGUUGGGCUUUGACUGCUUUUGCAGGCGCUAAUAAUGCAGAUAUCAUAACUGCGGCAAAUACAUAUGUUCAGAUACGCGGGUUGGUAUGGCCAGUAUGGCUUGUUGGAUCGGUUGCUCAAAGUGCAAGUUUAGGAAUGAAAGAUUCGUGGGGACCUAUCAAAGCUUUGGCAGUUGCAAGUGCUAUCAAUGGCGUAGGUGAUAUCGUCUUAUGCAAAUUCCUAGGAUUGGGUAUUGCUGGAGCAGCAUGGGCCACGAUGGUGUCACAGGUUGUUGCAGCUUACAUGAUGAUUGAUGCUUUGAACAAGAAAGGGUACAAUGGUUUUGCCAUCUCUAUUCCAUCACCUAACGAAUUCCUUCAGAUAUUCAUGCUCGCAGCUCCUGCAUUUGUGGCAAUUUUGUCAAAGAUAGGAUUUUACUCUCUGCUUGUGUACUUCGCUACAUCAAUGGGUACAAAAACUGUUGCUGCUCAUCAGGUGAUGAUACAAUUGUACUGCAUAUGUGCUGUUUGGGGUGAGCCACUUUCUCAAACAGCCCAGUCAUUUAUGCCUGAACUGAUAUAUGGAGCUAAUCGAAGUUUAGCAAAGGUUCGACAACUACUGAAGUCGCUGGUCUUUAUUGGUGCACUAAGUGGACUGAUAUUAGGAUCUAUUGGAACAUCACUUCCCUGGCUAUUCCCUAAAAUCUUUUCCUCUGAUCAUGAAGUCAUACAGGAGAUGCACAAGGUGCUGAUCCCUUUCUUUAUUGCUCUAUUUGCUGCACCACCUAUUAAUUGCCUCGAAGGCACAUUAAUGGCUGGAAGAGAUUUGAAGUUCCUAGGUAUCUCAAUGACUGGCAUCGCAUGUUUGGGGACACUUCUAGUUAAGGUGUUGAGCCAGAGGGGUUAUGGAUUAACUGGGUGUUGGUUAGCACUUGUUGCAUUUCAAUUGUCUCUGUUUACCGUUUUGCUGAGACGGCUCACCUUACCUAGUGGGAUACUGUACUCUGAAGACGUGACUCGUUAUGAACAUGGGAAGCUGAAAACUGUAUAGUUUGGCCUGUGUCCGGGACACUAAAGUCCCUCAAGAUUUCUACCCAGGACUUUACCCAAAAUAUCAUUUGGCGCUUUUCUCUCUCUUCUUUCUCUCUCUACAAAGCAAUACGCAGCGCCCGCGAAGACGAGUCUAGCCAUGAUUCUGAAAACGCCAAUUCACCACUCUUACCACCCUAGUCUCCG